ensembl:lncRNA
GGCGCUGCAGCAUCCUCCUGCAUGUAGGUAGGGCUGCGGGGCCGGCAGGGGCUGCGGGGGAGGAGUUUGCAUGGCAAUAUCUUGCACAGGGAAUCUCUCUGGAAAGCUCCAGCACAAAGGAGCUGUACAGCAGCCAAGAGAGCACGCAGACUACGGUCCCCAAGCCGGCUGCCACCUGGAAGCCAGAAUCCUCAUCGAGAAUAGGGCUCGAGACAGGUAAAUGGAUUCUUGCCUCAUUUUCAGUGCUGCUGGAAAGGAAGCAGGCAAAAUGCUGGUUUGCUUCUUUGUCUUGAAACCACCAUUUUCCUCCAGGCCUGGUGAUGUUAGGUGGGGGUUUUAGAGGAGAGAGGCUGAGGGUUGCUCUUCCCUCUGCAAAGAGUUAAUGUGACAGCUGCCGCCAGGCUCCUUUUGGGGAGCCAUUUUCUUUCCCUCAUUGUUCCACCGCCUUUGUGUGCGCGUCCAUCUCAUCCGGGGAGCCAGGAAGAAUGAGACCCCCAACCCCGUGGGGACCCUUCCCCAUUACAGCUCUGCUUCAGAGAGCAGCGGCACAGCGGUGCGGGGACAAAGGGUGGCAGUGGGGUGGGAGACAGCAGCGGAGUGGGAGGGGUGGAAGGGUGCUGGGGGGGACCAGACUAGAGCCACUGCUGCGGGCGGAGGGAGGAGGGAUCAUCCCACCGGGCAGAGUAACAACAAUGAACCUCGGGCAGCAAACAGCAGCUGCUCGGCAGCUGAAGUGUGCAGUCAUCGCAGAGCGGCCCCGCUGGGGUUUGGGGCCAUUGUUGCUUUUCCCACAUUGGCCCCACGCUGCUUGUUCCUAGCGGGAUGCAGCCAGGUGGGAUGUCUGCCUCUGCUGCAGCCCAUGAGCAGAGAGGUGCGGGCACAGCAGUGGCUCUGAAGGCACUGCAGGGCGUGGGGUGCCCUCACUGCAUGGCAGUGCCAGCUCCCCUGAGGCAGUGCUGCAUUGGGGACCUCGGUGCUGAUCCGACAGCAUGGUGCUGCUCCUUGCUCUCUUGCUGCGUUGCUUGCUUUCUUUUGCAGCUGCUAAUGACUGACCUGAGGUCUGUUCACACACAGUCCCCUGCGCAGCCCUCGCAGAGGAACAGCUGGACGGGAUGGGGGACGCUGCACGGUGCCCACGUAGCCAGAUUGCACAGCACCACCAGUCCCAUGGCUCUGCCACAGCUCUCACCCGAGGGCACUGGGGCACAGGGACGUGACAGCUGCCUGCACAUGGACACUGGAGCUGCUGGCCACAGCGGAGCCACCUGAUGCCAGCCUGGCUGUUGUGAGAACAAGGCUGAAGAGAUGGUGGUGGCAGUGCCUGAGGACAUGGGACUGUCUUCACAUGGUCCUGCCAGGUGCUGGGGUCCUCUUCUUCCUGCAAACACUCUGGCACUGAUAAGGCUGUCCCCUCCUUGGAGUCCAUCUCUCAUCCUCAUGGUGCCAGGGGUGCACAUCGCAGGGCGUACUCAGGCUCUGUGUGCCUCACCAGCACGGUGACAGCAGCAGGUCCCCACCAAGCGUUUCAUCAGGAGGGCUGCAUUGCGCUGACCCAUUCACUGACACCUUCCCAUAUCCCAUAACCCAGUGGCAAAGCCCAAAAACGUCUCCUGCUCUCCAAAGCCAUGCUGCCUUGCGCGGGGACUAACCGUGCCCAGCUGUGCAUGCGUGUGCUCUGCUCCUCUCCAGCACUAACCAGGUCCCCCAGGCACCGUGUGCCCCUUGUGAUCACUAACCCACUAACACACCCACGCAUGUCCUACUAACAGCCCCGCUCUCACUAACAGCCCACAGGCCUUAAAGGGGAACGGAAAAGCUGGGUAAGUACGGGGCUGUGUGGGGCACUGUGGGGCUGGGGAAGCCAGGCAGCAUGUGGGGCAGGCAGGACAGGGUGGGCAGCCCCUCUGUAUGGCCCCUGCAUGGGGCUGGUCUCUGCAGCAGUGGGGCUGCGAUGCCCAGAGUGCUGCAUAUGGUUCUGCUGCUGACUGGGAGCCCAAAAUGGUUUUAUCAGCAGAAGCUUUUCAGUUCCUUUUUAAGCCAGUGGAUCUCUCUGUUACUAACACAUUCCUGAACUGAAUUAAACAAACUAAUCGUUGCUGCUUUUCUCUUCAUUUCUCUUCUAGUGUAUAUGUUCUCUAAGUGCGACUGACGAUGCCAUGCUUCUCUUUACUAACAGCCUGCAUUAACCUCUCUUUACUUGUUUCUCUAUUGCCUCUAACAAUUGUUCUUUGCACUUCAACUUUCCAGUGCUGUUGGCCAUGACAGAUGAGCAGUGGUCCCUACACACCCAGGGACCCAUGGCUGCUGACCCCACACUGCCAUUGGGUGCAGCACAAAGGGAGAGGCUCGGGCCAGGGCUGCUUUCAAAAUUUCCCUAUUGGCUUGUUGUUUGCUGAGAAAUUCCACGUGGUUCAAUGAGUGAAAGAUACUGAGUGGAAAGAGGACAAUGCCAAAACCACGAGCAACAGCUGGCAAUUGUCACAAUAAACCAGCAGAGCUGCCCA